rnacentral:misc_RNA from 1 species
GGACUACCGGGGUUUCUAAUCCUGUUUGCUCCCCACGCUUUCGCGCCUCAGCGUCAGUUUUCGUCCAGAAAGUCGCCUUCGCCACCGGUGUUCUUCCUAAUCUCUACGCAUUUCACCGCUACACUAGGAAUUCCACUUUCCUCUCCGAUACUCCAGCUUCCCAGUUUCCUUCCCAUCACGGGGUUAAGCCCCGCACUUUUAAGAGGGACUUGGGAAGCCGCCUGCGCGCGCUUUACGCCCAAUAAUUCCGGACAACGCUUGCCACCUACGUAUUACCGCGGCUGCUGGCACGUAGUUAGCCGUGGCUUGCUUUUCCGGUACCGUCAAUGCAGUUUGUUCUUCGCACUCUGCCUUUUCGUCCCGGAUCACAGAGUUUUACAACCCGAAGGCCGUCAUCACU